AACGUAAAGUGGCACAAGCUUGUACCAUUUUUCGCAUACACACGCGUAUGAACGCGACGAUUAGAUGCGGAAAAUGGGACAUUCUUGUGCCACUUUGCGUUACGACUGACUGUAGUUGACCGGGCAACCGCUUUGACGUGGCGCUGUCAACAAUGUUGCCCCAUUUAUUCACACUUUGGGGAUGACUGAGAUUAUGCUGAUUGCUGGAUAUACACUAUGUGAAAUACAAAAAUUUAAAAUGUAAACAAUAUGCUGUACUAUACAAGGACUUCAGUAAAGCAUUCGACAGAGUUUACUACAAAAGAUUGAUUCUGAAACUCAGAUCGUUCAACCUGCCACCUGCCAGACAAUCUUCUUGCUUACAUCGAGUCAUACCUGUCAAACAGAACGCAAUUCGUUAAGUAUGGGAGCAGCGAGUCUAACGAAUUCAACGUGUCAUCUGGCGCACCACAAGUAGAUGGAAUGGACGACGUGUUCAUUUCCUUCUUCGCUAAUGAUGUGAAGAUCGCCAAAGUCAUCCACUCGAGCACGGAUGCGGAAGUGCUACAGCGGGCCAUCGACACACUGAAGGUUUGGUGCGACGUAAACAAUUUGAACUUGAACCUUGACAAAUGUGCCGUCAAACCGACGUGCAAACGCUCAAAACAUUGUACUAUGCAUUGGUUCAGUCUCACCUCGAGUACUGCAACGUUGUAUGGCUACCGACUUAUGCCGUACACAUCGACAAAAUUGGGAGUCAAUCGUUGGCCAACGGAUACAGUACCAUUGACUACAACAAGCGACUUGAGGCGUUGAACAUGACAUCGUUGGAGCGUAGGAGAGUGAAUCAGGUUUCGGAAGAAGAGCUGUCAAUUUCUCCCAUUUACGAUACUAGCGCCACUGAGGUAUAUAGCAAAUCAAUGUAAAGUGGGGUUUUUUUCUAACUAAAAUACGCGGCAUUUUUGAAAUUUCGUACUAUUUCCGCACCUUGGAGUGAAUACAUCAAUUGUAUUCAUGUACGACAUCGUGAAUGGGAUCACAAACU